AAAGAAGUGAGUGGGAGGAAAGUAGAACUUGACGAGGUAACUGUACCUGCUCCCUUACUGGAAAGUAGUUCAUCACAGAAAACUGUUUCAGUGACACCUACACCAGUUAGUGAGGAAGCCAAUGAUAAUGAUCAUGAAACUUCAGAUCAAGAUACUACUGAACCUCGUAGAUCAACCAGAGUAAGAUCCACGCCAGAGUGGUACGGUAAUCCUGUUCUGGAAGUCAUGCUACUAGAUCAUGAUGAAUCUACGAACUAUGAAGAAGCGAUGGUGAGCCCAGAUUCCGCAAAGUGGCUUGAAGCCAUGAAAUCUGAGAUGGGAUCCAUGUAUGAGAACAAAGUAUGGACUUUGGUUGACUUGCCCGAUGAUCAGCAAGCAAUUGAGAAUAAAUGGAUCUUUAAGAAGAAGACUGACGCUGAUGGUAAUGUUACUGUCUACAAAGCUCGACUUGUCGCAAAAAGGUUUUCGGCAAGUUCAAGGGAUUGA
rnacentral:rRNA from 1 species